AGGUGGGAGGAUUGCUUGAGCCUGGGAGAUGGAGGCUGCAGUGAGUUGUGGUCACACCACUGCACUGCAGCCUGGGCAACAGAGUGAGACCCUGUCU
rnacentral:miRNA from 1 species